rnacentral:tRNA from 7 species
GGUGGGGUUCCCGAGCGGCCAAAGGGAGCAGACUGUAAAUCUGCCGUCAUUGACUUCGAAGGUUCGAAUCCUUCCCCCACCACCA